AUACGGAGGGUGCAAACGUUGUUCGGAAUCACUGGGCGUAAAGGGCGCGCAGGCGGUUUGAUUAGUCAGAUGUGAAAGCCCACGGCUUAACCGUGGAAGUGCAUUUGAAACUGUCAGACUUGAGUACCAGAGGGGGUAGUGGAAUUCCCGGUGUAGAGGUGAAAUUCGUAGAUAUCGGGAGGAAUACCGGUGGCGAAGGCGACUACCUGGCUGGAUACUGACGCUGAGGCGCGAAAGCGUGGGGAGCAAACAGGAUUAGAUACCCUAGUAGUCC
rnacentral:rRNA from 1 species